UCUGUUUGAAUAUAGGGGAACCUUCCUCUAAGCCUUAAUAUAAUAUACAAGUAAUAGAGAAAAGUACUGUGAAGGAAAAUUUAUAAGUAGUAGUCUUAUAAGCAGCUCGAGCUAAGUUUAAUAAACAGAUAAGAGCGUACCUUUUGUAUAAUGGGUCAGCAAGUUCUAGUUAGAUGCAAGCAACUACUUUUUGUUAAUAAAUUUUUUAUGUAAUGGGUAGAAAAAGAUACCAUUAAAAAAAAUGAACAAUGAAUUUGCCUAGAUAAUCCAAUUAUUAAGUAAUGAAUAAGUAUCUAAUUAGAGACCCGAAGAGUAGUGAUCUUACCAUGGUCAGGCUUAUAAAAGGCCGAAUGGGUUAUCGUUGUAAAGAUAUCCAAAGAACUGUGGUAAGUUAGUGAAAGACAAUCCUGACUACUAUAGCUGGUUUUCCGCGAAACAUAUGUAAGUAUGUAGUUUAAAGCACAUCAUAGCAGGUACAGAACUGUAAUCUCGGACAAUUUGUGCAUUUUCAUUCCUAUAGGGUAAACUUAUCCUAUAGAGAAGGUUAAUGCCUUGUGCAUAUGGGGGGGUCGUGAAGACUCUAUUCGCGAGUAUUUGCUCUCGGAAGGGCAAUGAUGAAUGUUGAACUAUCAGACAUUUAACGAUAAGGUUGUGUGUCAAAAGGGAAACAGCCCAGAACAAGUGUUUAAGGUUCCAAAGUUUUUGUUAAGUGAAAGUAAGGAAGUAUUUAAACUAUACAACCAGGAAAUAGGCUUAGAAGCGGCCAUUUUUUAAAGACCUCGUAACAGAGCACUGGUUCAAAUGGUUAGAAAUAACCUAAUUAGUUAAAAGCGCCGAAGAUAUAACGGAUCUAAACAAAACACCGACACCUUGUCCAUAAUAAAAUUUAAAAUUUAAUGAAAAAUUUAGUUUUAUUUUAAUAUAUUUAAAUAUUAUUUAAGUAUUGUUUAUGGGGUAGCGGAACAUUGGGUAAAUAGA
rnacentral:rRNA from 1 species